GAUGAACGCUAGCGGCAGGCUUAACACAUGCAAGUCGAGGGGUAUAACACUUCGGUGUUAGAGACCGGCGCACGGGUGCGUAACGCGUAUGUAAUCUACCUUUUACAGAGGGAUAGCCCAGAGAAAUUUGGAUUAAUACCUCAUGGUAUUAUGGAUAGGCAUCUAUUUAUAAUUAAAGAUUUAUCGGUAAAAGAUGAGCAUGCGUCCCAUUAGCUAGUUGGUAUGGUAACGGCAUACCAAGGCGACGAUGGGUAGGGGUCCUGAGAGGGAGAUCCCCCACACUGGUACUGAGACACGGACCAGACUCCUACGGGAGGCAGCAGCGAGGAAUAUUGGACAAUGGGCGCAAGCCUGAUCCAGCCAUGCCGCGUGCAGGACGACUGCCCUAUGGGUUGUAAACUGCUUUUGUACAGGAAGAAACCCUUCUACGAGUAGAAGAUUGACGGUACUGUAAGAAUAAGGAUCGGCUAACUCCGUGCCAGCCGCCGCGGUAA
rnacentral:rRNA from 1 species